rnacentral:rRNA from 1 species
GACGAACGCUGGCGGCGUGCUUAACACAUGCAAGUCGAGCGAUGAAACACCUUCGGGUGCGGAUUAGCGGCGAACGGGUGAGGAACACGUGAGGAAUCUGCCUCCCACUCUGGGAUAACUCCGGGAAACCGGGGCUAAUACCGGAUACUUUCAACUGGCGGCAUCGCCGGUUGAAGAAAGUUUUUCGGUGGAAGAUGACCUCGCGGCCUAUCAGCUUGUUGGUGAGGUAAAGGCUCACCAAGGCGACGACGGGUAGCCGGCCUGAGAGGGCGACCGGCCACACUGGGACUGAGACACGGCCCAGACUCCUACGGGGGGCAGCAGUGGGGAAUCUUGCGCAAUGGGCGAAAGCCUGACGCAGCAACGCCGCGUGAGGGAAGAAGGCCUUCGGGCUGUAAACCUCUUUCAGUAGGGACGAAGCUUCCGGGGUUAAUAGCCUACGGGGUGACGGUACCUACAGAAGAAGCCCCGGCUA